GUUGUUUUUCCUGAGCCUCUCAACAACAGGAGAGGCAAGCAGAGCACAGUAGGAACUGAAUGGGGUUUGCGUGAAAGAAAAAUCCAGGGAAAGGUGUCCUGCAGAACGUGCACGGACCUGACCCGAGUCUAAGCUUGUAAGGGGCUUGGUGCAUGGGAGUUGGAGAACCAUCUCGGUGUUCAUAUUCUGGCAUCGAAAUGAGAACAUGAGUGCAUUUUAUUGUAUCUUUGAGGCAACCCUGGAGGCUACACCUUGAAGAGGCAGCCUCAUGAAAUGGAAGGUGCCAAGGAUCUCUGAACGUUAUGGAGCAGAGCCAUCCCACCCCACCAUCUGCAGUUCGACUGUAAUAGGAGUGAGCAAUGUAGUUUUGUGUUAAGCCAUUGAGAUUUGAGGGGUUAUCUAUCACAGAAGCUAUUAUUACUUAUCCUAACUAGCACACUCAUGAGCAAUUACAAAAUACAGUGUGAUGGAAGCUAUGCCAAGUGAGUACCAAGGAGGGUAUCCAAGCCUCUGGAAUACGUCAGAUUUUUGUAUUACACCCCAAGGAAAUGAUGAGGAAAGGUUCUUAGCACAAGGUAUAUUUGGGAUGAUUCUUGACAGAUUACAAUAAUAGUUAAUAUGUAUUGGGUUCUUUCUAUGUUCCAGACACUGUGCUAAGAGCUUUGCUAGAUUAGCCUAUUUAAUCCUCUAGGUAUUAUCUCCCUUUACACCUGGAGAGAAUGAGGUCUGGAGAGGUUAAGUAACUUACCCAAAGUCCCACAACCCUCAAUGGCAGAGCUGGACAUCAACCUCAGUGUUACUCUGCUGCCAGCAAAUACGCAGACAUUAGCCAGGCAGCUGUUAUUUGGAGGGAGAGAGGGCAGAGGAAGCAAACUGGGCAGAGGCACAGAGAAGGGCUGAUGUGCGAAAUACCUAGCAACCCAGUAGCAGGAGUGCUGGGCAAUUGGUGGGUGCUGACCGUGGUGCUGAAGUGGGGCUGGAUCGUAGUAACGUCCUGAGGAAGAAGAGAGGAUAAGGGCGCAGGGGUUGUUGG
rnacentral:lncRNA from 1 species